GCAGUUUCCUUCACAAGAUUGAUCUUAACGUUGCGCGAGACACAAUUUUUUGUAUUUUAUCGCUUUUACAGUUCAGGUUCAAAGUUAUUAUGACCAGUGGACAAUGCUGCGUUCCAAAAAGGAUGUAGACCGCCACGUGCGAGAUAUUUUGAAUAAAAUCAAGAACGAGGACGAGAGGAAAGUCCGGGGUUAUAACAUUGCCCGCCUCUACUUUAACAUCAAUGAGUACGAGAGUGCCCGUCGUUACUUGAGUGAAUUUCUAACAGUGCGCCCUAAAGCAACAGAUGCUCAUCGUUUAUUAGGCCAGAUCAAUGAAGGUCUUGGAAAUAAAGAAAAGGCAGUUCAAUCAUACAAGACCUCCUAUGAAUUAGGUGGUGGCCAAAAGGACCUCAUUUUGAAAAUUUGUGAGUUAUAUACAGAAGUACAGUGUGACAAUUCAGUCCGUCUGUAUUGGGCAGAAGAAGGCCAUAGGCUCUAUCCUCACAAUGAGAGUGUUGUCAAGUUACGUGAAGCCCUUCUCACGGGUUCAGGAGCACACUCACGGGAGGAGCUUGAAAAAUUAUACCUAGAUGAAAUUAAAGCUAAUCCAACGGAUGUGAGACUACAAACAAAUCUCCUACAGUUGUAUAAAGACUGGGGAGCUGAAGACAAAAAUAAGCUCAAUGAAGCCUACAAUUAUGGGUGUCAGGUGGAGGCACGUAAGCCAUUUUCAGAAUCGCUGGAAUGGUAUAAAACCCUUUUUGAUAUCAUGCAGGAAUACUGCUCAUCGGUUGAUGUUAGCAAUGAAAAGGAAUUCCACAUCAAUUAUUUGUCUGCCCAAGAGCGACUUGUCUACCUCACUUUGGCCUCAAGCAGCAGUACUGCACUCUUGUCCCAGUGUACCCUCACAGAUGCUGCUGCACUCCUACAUAAGUUUGAUCAAGAUUUGAAGACCAGUUUAGAAGUGGUGGAUCAAAAUUCUUCUUUUGGUCAGAUGAUGGUGGGCCAGUUGUACCUGCAUAUGGCUAUAUUCCUUUUACAAAAUGCAAAGAAGGAUGGCCUUACUCACACAAGUACCAGUGCUGGAGCAUUGCUGUUUCAUGCCUGCAGAUACCGGUCAUCUGAAAGUGCCACACAGUCAAAGUCAUGGAGUUCAAGAGAUCAGUUUUGGUACAAAUUAACUUGUCACAGACUAUCUCAGGCUGCUCAUGUCCUUAACCAUAUGGCUAAAACAGAAUCUGAAAAGAAUAAGUUUUUAAACAAAGUGAAACAGCAGUGCAGUAAUAAGCAAGCUCAGGAGCAUAUCUACCUGACUCUGUUUGGGGCUUCUAAUGCCAACAAGAAAGAGGGUAGCUUUUUCCUCAGUGAUGAGCAGUUUAUUUCAAAGCCCCUGACAUAUCCUGAAGCUGAGCAAGUAAAAGUCUGGGAUAAUGUUGUAGGAACCAUGUACUGCUCAAGUUUGCGAGACAUGGUUUGGUUGUGUCUGCAGCAAGCCCCAACUAGUUGCAAGGAGCCUCAGCCAUACUACACAUAUACAUUGUUUGAAGGGCUGCAGUUUUCUACAACCAAUGUCAAUACAGGGGCUCCAGAGACCCUGUGCCAUCUUGAUCUCCUAGCUUUCUUGGCUGCAACUGUGUAUUGCCAAAUUGCAGCUGGAAAAGAGAAUAAUGGUCCUCCUCCAGCCUCCAUGCCAACAGUGGUUGCAUCAGUUCUCAAUACAACAGAACAAGCAGAAUGGUGGACUGCUGCAUACACACUCUUUACCAACCGUGCUCACCAUAGGCUUAGCAAGCUACGUAUGAUCUUGCAGCGAGGUCUGGAGGUCAUUAGAGCUGUUGGCAACCAUGGUGUAGAUUUAGCUCUUAUGGCACACUUGGCACAAUGUUUUUCUACCUGGGCAACAGCAGCCAAGGAGGAUGGAAGUACAGCAAGUGAAGUAGAUGCCCUAGAGGACCGGGCAGAACAUUACUGGCAUCGAGUGCUCACACUUUGCCAAAGGGUUGCACGGAAUGUCAUAAAUGUUACACCUAGGAAUAGACUAUUUGUUGUACAAAACAUAUCUCUGAGUGCAGAGGAACGCUCCAAGGUUGAGGAAGAAGGGAAAUACUUCCUAGCCAUGAGACUAGUGCAGGCAGGGAAGCUGCAGGAGGCCAUACAAGCACUUGGAGAAUUGAAAAGUCCUGAAGCAUCAUUCCAAAGGGCAAUGUUGUAUAAAGAACAGGCCCAAGCAAUCAACGGUGAAGGUGGUGUCGAAACCAUGACAGCAGACAUGCGUUCACAACAUACCAUUCUGUUAACACAAGCAAGGGAUACCCUUUAUCUCACUCUUGACAGAUUGCGGAUGCCAGGUGUAGACCGUUUUCAUCCUCUCAACACAAAGUUGAGUCAGCAGCUGGAGGAUGUUGAGAGGCGUCUUUCACACAUCAGCGUAGACCAAGAUACCCACACUCAGCGAGAGGAUGAUACAGAGUCCAUUUCAGAUGCCUCUCAGUCACCUCGACCUGACUUGGCUAAUGGACAUGUGAUAAAUGCAUCUCAGCCUCCACAGAUGUUUAGUACACCCUACAGGGACAACAGAAAUAGUAGCAGAAUAACAAGACAGGAGGCCCGUCCAAGCCCAGAGCGUCUGGAUGCACAAGUGAGAGCUAUCUCAGAGGUUCAGGAGAAUACACUGAGGAACAUGGAGGACACAUUGAGGAAUAUGGAGGAACAGAAUGCAGCACUUAGAGCCCAAAAUGAAGCUCUGAGAGACACAUGCGCUACAAUGGCACAAGAAGUCAAGGAAAAUGCUUCACUGUUCCGCAGUAUCCUUGAACAGAACAAAAGUAUCUCCCAGGAAGCAUAUAAUGCUGUACUUAAUGAAAUGAAACAAGUUCAAAUAAGUAUUAAAGACCUGCAGACUCAAGUUCAAAGUAUAGCAGUUGAUGUUGCAGAAUUGCGAGCAAUGAAAGCAGAUGCAAAGCAUACUGAAGUUGUUGAAGCAAAGGCCAGUGAGGAGCAGGUUGCUGUAGAUCUUCCUGCUGCAGCAGUAGUACCAGCUGGAUUAUACAGUGGUUACAUGGGAUACUACAGUCAGCAGCCUGUACCCAACCCAUUGAUGCCUACUCCAGGGCUCUUUGGGAACCCUCCAUUCUUCCCACCAUCUACUCUCCCAGACCAGACAUACAGCAUGCCAUCGAGUGUUAGCCAGGCGACAACAGUAACCAGUCUAAGUCAGACAGGAUCUUCAAUAGUGACCCAGGCUCUUAGCUCCCCUGCUAUUGUUACUGCUAAGGAGCCACUGCCAUCACCCUCUGGAAUCACUGUUGCACAGAGUCUUGCUACAACAAACUUGGGUAAUGUGAGUUGGAGUGUGGCACAGGGCAUAAGUUCUUCAUCUGGCACCACAAGCAGUGCGCAGAUAAUGCCACCUGUUACCAGUGCUCCUCAUGCCUUCCAGAUUACAAUGCCAGCUGUGUCUGCAGCUCUGACACCACCACCUGCUUCUGCACCUGAGGAGCAGCUGUCAAUCACCCUUCCAUGCUCUGCUACGGGUCUCCUGGCCAACAUACCCGCCCCCCUGUACUCAGCAGUCACUCCUGACUCGUCCCCCCAACGAGGCCAGUCACAGGUUAAAUCACUGUCUCCGUAUUUGUCAACGGGCGGCUUGUCUCCCGCAGCCAACAAUCUGGAUGCUCCAUCUGCCUCGUCUGGUUCACAGGACUGCACAAUCACAUUUUCAGGUACCUUUAAGAGUCCUGGGGGCAUUACCACAUCAGAAUCCCCUGCUCCAAAGGCAAAGGAAAUGGCUGACGAUGACAAUGAUCGGUAUGUGGAGGAUGACCAUGACCCAUGUCCAGAUUUCAAGCCUGUAAUUCCAUUGCCUGAGAAGGUGGAGGUUCGCACAGGAGAAGAGGAUGAAGAGGUAUUGUUUGAAGAGAGAGCCAAGCUCUUCAGAUUUGUAGAGAAGGAAUGGAGAGAGCGGGGAACAGGUGUUAUGAAACUGUUGCACAACCCUUCCCAGGGCUCAGUGCGUGUUCUAAUGAGGAGAGACCAGACCCACAAGAUCUGUGCCAACCAUCUUGUGUAUUCUAAUAUAGAGUUGCAGGCCAUGAAAGGAAAUGACAAAGUUUGGAUAUGGGCUGCACAGGAUUAUGCAGAUGAAGAAUUGCGAAUGGAGAAGUUCUGUUGCCGAUUCAAAACACUGGAGAUAGCUACAAGCUUUAAGGAUGCUUUCAUGAAAGCAAAAGCAAUUGUAAAGGAGAAUGAAGAAAAAUUGGAGAAACAGCAGAGUUUAGGAGAUGCAGGUAAGACUGCCAGCCAAGAACCUUUACCAGCAAGUUCAGGAAAAUCCCUAGCAGAGAUGUUCAAGCCUGCUGCAGGAUCUUGGACCUGCUCUGUAUGCCUGGUGAACAACUCUGCUGAAAUGAGCAAAUGCGCUGCCUGUGAAACUCCCAAUCCCAGUGCCCCCAAGGUUGAGGAAUCAGCUGCACCUCAGACACCCUUUGCAACAUUCAAGUUUAAAAGCCCCACAAAUACUCCAGGUUCAUCAACUGCAUCUCCAGACAAGCUUGGCAUGGCUUCAACUCCCAACACUUCCACUUCAGCUUCUGCCACGGGAUUUGGCUUCCGAUUUGGCUUAGACCCCUCAAAAACAACCAUCAGUCCCCUGGUCAGCUCAGCCCCAACUUCCUCCAGUGCUGUCGCAACCCCUGCUACCAGUGCUGACACAGCCAAGGAUACCGUUAAGUUCUCCCUAAGCGGGUUCACCUUCACUACCACUCCCACAUUGAAGCAGGAUAAGGUGGAAGUCCCAGAGAAGCCAAAAGAGGAAGAAAAGAAAAAGGAAUCAAUAUUUGCAAGUUUCUCCUUUGGGUCCAGUGCCUCAUCUGGUUCAGGAAACGCUGGCUUCAAUUUCAGUGUGCCAACAAAAGACAGCAAGCCUGAUGGAAGUCCUGCAGUGUCAAGCCAGUCAUCUGGGGAUGGAGGGUUGUUCAGCAACAAACCAGCAGGCAACUUGGUAUCCUUCAGCAGUUUGGCUGCCAACAGCAGUUCUACAUCGUCAAAGGUGUUUACCAUUAAGGAUACAAAAGCUUUUGAACCAAAGGCUUUGUUUGGAGGUUCGCAAGCCAAAUCACCCAGUAAGGAUGAUGGUGAUGACAAAGUAGAAGAAUAUGAACCUCAGGUAGACUUCCAGCCAGUUGUUCCUUUGCCAGACCUGGUUGAGGUUAAGACAGGUGAGGAAGAAGAAGAGAGGUUAUUCUGCGAGCGAGCAAAGCUUUUCCGCUUUGAUAAGGACACCAAGGAAUGGAAGGAACGAGGCAUAGGAGAGCUAAAGAUCCUGAAGAACAAUACAACUAAGAAGAUACGCAUUUUGAUGCGUCGUGAACAAAUCCACAAGGUGUGUGCCAAUCACUUCCUCACACCAGAGAUAAAACUAACUCAAAUGCAAACAUCAGACAAGGCAUGGAUUUGGGCUGCACAUGACUUUGCAGAUGAAGAAAUGAAGGAAGAGAGGUUUGCUGCCAGAUUUAAGACCCAAGAAUUGGCUUUGAGUUUUAAGGCAGCAUUUGAGAAAGCCCAAAAAUCUCUAGAGUCGGUCACUUCAGAGACCACAGCUGCUUCUGAUGCUGUCCCAACUAAAGCUUCAAAUACUGCUACCAGUUCAUUAGCUGCUAUGUUCAAACCAGCUGCGGGAUCCUGGGAGUGUGAUACCUGCUUAGUGCGAAACAAACCCGAAGAUAAUGUGUGUGUUUCAUGUUCAAGCAACAAACCAGGUUAUGAACCACCUAAAGAGAGCACACUUCAAACACCCCAGUUCAGCUUUGGUAUUCCAUCCUCAACAACUGCACCAAAAGAAUCGGCAAAGAAUGAUGAUAAACCCAACCUUAAUUCUCUGGCAAGCAUGUUCAAACCAGCAGCUGGCUCAUGGGAGUGUAAUAGUUGUUUGGUGCGUAACAAUGCAGGAGAUACUGCAUGUGUUGCAUGUAAAGCUGGUAAAGAUGGUAGUGCUCCCAGUGCAGAUUCUUCUACUGGUGAUAAAUCAUCUUUCAGCUUUGGCAUCAAAAGUGAUACAUCUUCAACCUCAAGUGGUUUUAGCUUUGGUGUAGCAGAAAACAAGACUGCAUUCUCAUAUAGCAUUCCCUCCACAAGUCAGAGUGCAACUGGCACACCCUCUCAGCCAGCUUUUCCCUUUGGCACAAGUGCAAAACCUGCCCAAGACAAUACUGAUAGUAAGCCUGCAUUUUCAUUUGGUAUCCCAGGCAGUGUAACAAUAAAACCUGUGCAAGAUUCUGCCGUUACAACAGAAACAAAACCCGCUUUCUCCUUUGGGGAACAAACCAACAAGCCAUUCAGCUUCUCUUGGUCAACAACUACCCCAGCCAGCAUUGGUUCAGCCUCUACUGCAGGCACUUCAGCCUUUUCUUCAUCAACCUUUUCUCAGUCUAAGCCAUCAGGGUCACAGGAGCAACCCUCAACACCAACCAAAGAGGAAAAACCAGGUUUUGUCUUUGGUAGUCCUGGAAAGUACGAGUUCUCAUUCACUGGAGUUAAGGCUCGUUCUCCCAGGUCAAGGGACAUCAGUCAGUGUGAAUCAGAAGAUGGCCUUGUGGAAGAGGAUGAAGGGGACCAUCUUUACUUUGAGCCUGUGAUACCACUACCUGACAAGGUUGAUGUCGUGACUGGAGAAGAGGAGGAAACUUGUCUUUACUCUCAUCGCUCCAAGCUUUUCCGUUUAAUCAGUGGAGAAUGGAAAGAACGAGGCAUAGGCGAUGUCAAAAUCCUGUGCCACAAGAAGAAUGGUAAGAUAAGGCUACUGAUGAGAAGGGAGCAGGUUCACAAGAUCUGCAUGAACCAUUACCUAAAAGCAGACAUGGAAUUCCGCAAGAAGGAUGAGAAGACCUUCUAUUGGGCAGCAGUUGAUUACACUGAAAAUGAAGCACAAAAGGAAACCUUUGCAAUCCGUUUUAAGACCCCAGAGAUUGCAGCUGAAUUUUAUAAGGCAGUAGAUAGUGCAAAGGUUCAGUUAGGUGGCACUCCAACAGAAUGUCCAGUGACAGUAUCAUCAAGUCCUGUAAAAUCAGAAGAAACGAAGAAAGAAAAAUCGCCAGACACACCAAGUAAGACUGAAGCAUCAGCACCAGUUUCUGUAAAGGCUGAAGCAGAUACCACAUCAGGGGAAGCUACAAGCAAGCUAAGCAGCUCUGUCUUUGGAGGAACACCCAGCAAGACACUGUUUGGAGAAACAAAAAGCACAAUAUUUGGGAGUGGCACUGAACCAUCUUUCGUCACUAAUGUGUCUGCUACCUUCACACUAAGAAGUCCUGAUCAGCAGGGAAUACUAAAUGCAGCUGGUGGGCCAUCUGUGUUUGGAGCAGCGACUACAAUGUCUACGACCCCAAGAAGCACCUUUAGCUUUGGAGACAAAUUCUCCUUAAAUCCAGAUGCUGAUGCAGACUGUGAGGUGGUCUACAUUAAGAGCAGUAAUGAGGAGCAGAAAUGCCAUGCCAAGGCAUUGAUGCUCCCUGAGAAUUUCUAUAGUUACAAAGAACAUCCAAGCUGCCCAGGCUGUGUUGGCUGUGAGGCAGAUGAUGAUGAUGAUGACAGUGAAGAUAUGGUGGAGGUAGUUUUUGAGAAGAAAGCUACACCUGAACAAGUACAGAAAGCUAGAAAACUGCAGCUUCCUGAUAAUUUCUAUUUGUAUGAAGAUGCCCCUCCUUGCCCAGGCUGCCAGGGCUGUUGUGAAGAGGAAGAAGAAACUGUGGGAAAAGUUGAGCAAACAAUACCAUCUGCAUCUACUCCAGCAAUUAGUACUUCUACAUCAUCCAUACUUGGUGGAACAAGUGCAGGGCCUUUCACAAAUGCAGUUUUUGGAAAAGGACCACCAAAGUCUCCAAGUAUUUUUGAAACCCCUAAAAUCUUUGGGGGAAGUACUGGAGGUUCUAGUCUUUUUGGGGGUGCUUCUAAUUCCCCCAGUGUAUUUGGAGGCUCCACUGCUACCAAUGCUCCCAGUGUGUUUGGAGGAUCCCCUGCUCCGAAUUCCCCCAGUCUGUUUGGUGGUUCCUCUGCUACAAAUUCUCCCAGUAUAUUUGGUGGUUCUGCUACUAGUAGUUCUACCAGUACAUUUGGAGGCUUCACAGCAACUACCACAACUGCCAGCAGUUCACCCAGUAUAUUUAGCAGCUCCAGCGUCACUAGUAGUGCCAGUAUAUUUGGAGGUACUGUUAGUGGAAGCAUAUUUGGUGGGGCUGCUGGUUCAGCUGGUGGACUCUUCGGCAAUGCCAAGACUUCAGGAUCACCAAGCAUGUUUGGUAAUGCUGUUGCAACAUCAACAGAAAAUACUACAUCAAGUAGCACAACAAAAUCAACAGAAGGGAGUUUGUUUUCCACCAUUAGCAGUGGAAACAUGCUAUCAUUUGGAGACUUGGCUUCACAAUCAAAUGAAAGUGGAUUUGGUCAGAAAAACACGGUAGCAGCAGAUGCAGUAUGGGCUGCGAAAGGACAACCUGUAUUUGGGAAGUCUCCAAAGAAGACUGGAGAUGAUGAUGAUGAUGUAGUUGAAAAUGAUCAUGAUCCCCACUUUGAACCUGUUGUACCAUUACCUGAUUUGGUGGAGGUGAAGACUGGAGAGGAGGACUUAGAAGUAAUAUUUAGUAAUCGUGGCAAGCUGUAUCGUUAUGAUAGUGGCUCCAAACAGUGGAAAGAGAGAGGCAUUGGAGACUUUAAAAUUCUGCGAGACCCAGCCACAAAUAAAUUCCGCUUACUGCAAAGGAGAGAACAGGUCCACAAAUUGUGUUGCAACCACUACCUAACAACCCAACUUCAAUUACGACCCAUGGAGACUUCAGAAACUGCCUGGUGCUGGUAUGCUAAGGAUUAUUCUGAGAGCUUAGAAGGCACAGAUGAGAAGUUAGCAAUCAGGUUUAAGACAAGUGAAAUAGCUGCAGAAUUCCAGAAGAAGUUUGAAGAAAGCCAAGAGGUCCUAAGGAAAAGUGAAGCAGAUCCUACAGGUAGCACAAACACUUCUGCUACAUUUGUCCUUCCACACCCCAGCAGUUCUCUUCAAAAAGAUGAAGAUGCAGAUGCAGAUGAUGAUGAGGAUGAAGAUGAUGAGGAUGAGGAUGAAGAUGAUGAUGACGACGAUGACGACGACGAUGAUGAUGAUGAAGAUGAUGAUGAUGAUGAAGAGGAAGAGGACGAUGAGGAUGAUGAUGAUGAGGAUGGAGAUGAUAAUGUAGUGAUUUUUACCAAGAGAUGCACCUUGUCUAAAAAAGAAAAUGGUAGUUGGACGGUAAGCACAUGAAAUAUACAUGUUGAGAGGAUCAUAGACAGUGAUUAUCAACACAGCACCAACUGCACUUGGUGCUGGGGAUCUUCACAUCCAGUAUGAUGAUGACUUCUUUGGGGCGAGGAUCAUCAUGACGUCAGAGUCUGGAGAAACCCUUGCUGAACAUAUUAUAGCUAUUCAAACCACAGUGCACAAAGAGGGC
rnacentral:misc_RNA from 1 species